rnacentral:rRNA from 1 species
UGGGCCAAAGGGGAUUGCCUCAGUAGCGGCGAGUGAAGCGGCAAGAGCUCAGAUUUGAAAUCGUGCUUUGCGGCACGAGUUGUAGAUUGCAGGUUGGAGUCUGUGUGGAAGGCGGUGUCCAAGUCCCUUGGAACAGGGCGCCCAGGAGGGUGAGAGCCCCGUGGGAUGCCGGCGGAAGCAGUGAGGCCCUCUGACGAGUCGAGUUGUUUGGGAAU